GACUGCUCAGGUGGCCCUGUGGUUACAGCGUCCGCCUCGGAUGCGGGAGGUCAAGGGUUUGAUCCCAUUCGAGUCA